rnacentral:rRNA from 1 species
GAUGAACGCUAGCUACAGGCUUAACACAUGCAAGUCGAGGGGAAACGGCAUUGAGUGCUUGCACUCUUUGGACGUCGACCGGCGCACGGGUGAGUAACGCGUAUCCAACCUUCCCAUUACUGUGGGAUAACCUGCCGAAAGGCAGACUAAUACCGCAUAGUCUUCGAUGACGGCAUCAGAUUUGAAGUAAAGAUUUAUCGGUAAUGGAUGGGGAUGCGUCUGAUUAGCUUGUUGGCGGGGUAACGGCCCACCAAGGCGACGAUCAGUAGGGGUUCUGAGAGGAAGGUCCCCCACAUUGGAACUGAGACACGGUCCAAACUCCUACGGGAGGCAGCAGUGAGGAAUAUUGGGCAAUGGACGGAAGUCUGAACCAGCCAAGUAGCGUGCAGGAUGACGGCCCUAUGGGUUGUAAACUGCUUUUGUAUGGGGAUAAAGUUAGGGACGUGUCCCUAUUUGCAGGUACCAUACGAAUAAGGACCGGCUAAUUCCGUG